rnacentral:misc_RNA from 1 species
UAAGAUUCGACUAUGAAUUCCGGCCACAGUAUAAUAAGAAUGGUUGUGUUCGGUGGAGAAUGAAGCGAUGAACUAUUGUAAAAUUCUUUAAUAUGAUUGGUUUAUACAUUUAGAUUCGAUAAGAACUAAGAGCAAGAACCAAUCAUAUUAAAGUAUUUUACAACAGUUCCAUUGGGCGCAUUCAGUAGACGGAGCGGAUCAGUGAGCACUCAGUAAUUCUCUAAUAUGAUUGGUUCUUGCCUUUAUUUUUUCGUUGGAUUUAAGGUCUGUUCGCGUCACAUGCCCCAACAUGCUCCUAUUCACCCCAACGCACUCCAAUACGUUGAUUCCGAUGACGCCAACCUAUUAGAAUGCGUUGGAGUGAGUAGGAGCAUGUCGGGGCAUGGCGACGCGAACAAACCAUUUGAAGCAAUCAUAGUAAAGAAUCACUGAUUCGCUUCGUUUUAUCAUUGGCUACAUUCAGCAGAAAAAGCAGCUUUGCAACUGUUGUAAAAUUCUUCAACACGAUUGGUUCUUACUCUUAGUUCCUGUUAGAUCUAAACGUAUAAACAAGUCGUGUCGAAGAAUUUUACAACAGUUGCAAAGCUGCUUUUUUGCUGAACGCAGCCAUUCUAUCAUUGUUGUUCGUUGAAUGUGAGGCAAUUUUUCAUUUUAGAUUAGAAUUUAUUUGACGCUCUAAGGGCGGGUUUAUCAAUGUUCAGCUAAGAGUGACUGCUAUGUAACUAAAAGUUAAGAAAUGGCUAAGAGUUAUUGUUCUAGUCAUCUAUCUAUGCGUUUAUCCACCCCACUGUUGACUAUUAGUUAAGUAACUGUCAGUUACAUUUGUUUUAAUGUUGGUUGGUAGCAUUGUUAGCGGUAAACAUAACCUAAAAGCGAUAUAUAAUCAUAGGCUUUGUGUCAGUAAAAUUGGCAUUUAGAAUACGUAUUACGAUGGAUCCAAAAAAAGAUAAAAGGAGUUCCAAUUUUACCGCUAGCGAUAAACAAUUAUUAUUAAGGUUGUGUAAUGAACACAAAAGUAUUAUUGAAUGUAAAAAAACUGAUGGUUGCACGUGGAGAAAAAAAGAUGAGAUGUGGAAAGAAAUAGAAAAUUUAUUUAACAGCUCUACAACAAGUAUACAUCGAACUGCGAAGCAAUUAAAAUUCAAAUACGAAGCGAUAAAAAGAGAUUUAAAGAAAGAACGAGUAAAAAACAAGGCUUAUGCAAGAGGCACUGGUGGAGGACAGUAUAUACCUCCACCCGUUACAAACACAGAAGAGGAGAACGAACUAUUACAAACAAUCGAAAUUAGUGUUGAAGGAUUGACAAAUACGUUUGAUUGUGAUGGUUUGUCCGAAAUGCAACCGCUCACUGAACGGCUAAGUAGCAAUGAAGAUUAGUGACGUUUACUUUGGAUCCAACAAAUCUCCAACAACUGCUUAGUCAGUGAGUGGUUAUGCUUCUAAAUGCACCUAUUGUAAUGUGAAUAUAAUCAUAGAAAAAAAUUACAUGAGAUCACAAAUUACUAGUAGCAGUUUAGUUAUCUUUGUCAUUUUUUGUCUUUUGAAAUAAUUGUUAUAUUGUUAAGGCAACAAUAAUUUACUGCUAUCAUUAAUCUAUAGAUUGAUUGUUACAUAUACAAUUAUGCUUAUUAAAUUGUUUUAAAAUAUUAGGCAUUGUUGGAAUUGAAUUAUCAAAUAACACUGCUGUAGCAACAGAAGGUGAAAUUGUAGAGAUGGAUUAGAGUAAUCCUAUUCCUCAAAUGUUAAGAACACCAGUCCAUGAAGCACUUAUUGUUUCUAACAAUGAAAUUCCGAGUACCAAUGAACAUCCCGAUAGUCAAGAGACAUCUACUAACAAUGACAUUCCGAGUACCAAUGAACAUCUUGAGAGUCAAAAGACAUCUACUAACAAUCAAAAUACCAGUGAACAUCUUGACAAUCAAAAGACAUCUGCUAACCAGCCCAUACAGCAACAAAGCAACAAUUCAUGGCAUAAUAGAAGACGACCAGUUUUGCAUAAAGCAAGUAAAUCUUCAGUUAGUGCUGCAUUUGAAUUGCUUGCUGAGAAAAAAAUACAGUUAGUUAAUUGGCAAAUAGAA